AGAAAAGUGGCCUACUGGUUAGGAAGAGGUUGGACCACACUCAUAUAAAUGCAUAAUGUGUGGAACAGACUUAUUGCAUGCAACCUAUAUCCAUGUAUAAGAUCUAAAGCUAAGUUCUUCAUCAUAGAACUGUGUUUGACAGUGUUUACAGAAAAACCAUUUCAAAAGUAUCAUCCACAAGAAGGAUGAUAAAAUCCAUAAAUUGAAAAAUGCAUCACUAGCAAAGAAUUCAUGAAAAAAAUUGUGCAUCUCAAAGUCUCAGAAAACAAAAAGAAUUAUGUGAAUGCAGAAGUAUUAAAUGCAUAUCAUAUCACAAGACAAACAGAAACAAUCUUGAAUAAGGAAAGCAUAUUUGUGAACAUACU
rnacentral:misc_RNA from 1 species